rnacentral:rRNA from 1 species
UACGAAGGGGGCUAGCGUUGCUCGGAAUCACUGGGCGUAAAGCGCACGUAGGCGGCUUUUAAGUCAGGGGUGAAAUCCUGGAGCUCAACUCCAGAACUGCCUUUGAUACUGAGAAGCUUGAGUCCGGGAGAGGUGAGUGGAACUGCGAGUGUAGAGGUGAAAUUCGUAGAUAUUCGCAAGAACACCAGUGGCGAAGGCGGCUCACUGGCCCGGUACUGACGCUGAGGUGCGAAAGCGUGGGGAGCAAACA